UUUCAUAAAUGUUUGCAUAUAAAUUAUGCAUGGUUUUGAUGUUUUUUUCAUUAUUCAGAGGUAAGAAGGAACUCAUUUGCAGGGUGAAACCAAUCAGCCUAAAAACAGGGCAAGCUAGAUGCUGGAGGUUCAAUCACAGGACCACCAGGAUACAGUGCAACAGGUUGGGGUAGGCACAGAAUAUGUGAGCUAUGGAUC